rnacentral:rRNA from 1 species
GUUUGAUCAUGGCUCAGAUUGAACGCUGGCGGCAGGCCUAACACAUGCAAGUCGAACGGUAACAGGAAGCAGCUUGCUGCUUCGCUGACGAGUGGCGGACGGGUGAGUAAUGUCUGGGAAGCUGCCUGAUGGAGGGGGAUAACUACUGGAAACGGUAGCUAAUACCGCAUAAUGUCGCAAGACCAAAGAGGGGGACCUUCGGGCCUCUUGCCAUCGGAUGUGCCCAGAUGGGAUUAGCUUGUUGGUGGGGUAACGGCUCACCAAGGCGACGAUCCCUAGCUGGUCUGAGAGGAUGACCAGCCACACUGGAACUGAGACACGGUCCAGACUCCUACGGGAGGCAGCAGUGGGGAAUAUUGCACAAUGGGCGCAAGCCUGAUGCAGCCAUGCCGCGUGUAUGAAGAAGGCCUUCGGGUUGUAAAGUACUUUCAGCGGGGAGGAAGGGAGUAAAGUUAAUACCUUUGCUCAUUGACGUUACCCGCAGAAGAAGCACCGGCUAACUCCGUGCCAGCAGCCGCGGUAAUACGGAGGGUGCAAGCGUUAAUCGGAAUUACUGGGCGUAAAGCGCACGCAGGCGGUUUGUUAAGUCAGAUGUGAAAUCCCCGGGCUCAACCUGGGAACUGCAUCUGAUACUGGCAAGCUUGAGUCUCGUAGAGGGGGGUAGAAUUCCAGGUGUAGCGGUGAAAUGCGUAGAGAUCUGGAGGAAUACCGGUGGCGAAGGCGGCCCCCUGGACGAAGACUGACGCUCAGGUGCGAAAGCGUGGGGAGCAAACAGGAUUAGAUACCCUGGUAGUCCACGCCGUAAACGAUGUCGACUUGGAGGUUGUGCCCUUGAGGCGUGGCUUCCGGAGCUAACGCGUUAAGUCGACCGCCUGGGGAGUACGGCCGCAAGGUUAAAACUCAAAUGAAUUGACGGGGGCCCGCACAAGCGGUGGAGCAUGUGGUUUAAUUCGAUGCAACGCGAAGAACCUUACCUGGUCUUGACAUCCACGGAAGUUUUCAGAGAUGAGAAUGUGCCUUCGGGAACCGUGAGACAGGUGCUGCAUGGCUGUCGUCAGCUCGUGUUGUGAAAUGUUGGGUUAAGUCCCGCAACGAGCGCAACCCUUAUCCUUUGUUGCCAGCGGUCCGGCCGGGAACUCAAAGGAGACUGCCAGUGAUAAACUGGAGGAAGGUGGGGAUGACGUCAAGUCAUCAUGGCCCUUACGACCAGGGCUACACACGUGCUACAAUGGCGCAUACAAAGAGAAGCGACCUCGCGAGAGCAAGCGGACCUCAUAAAGUGCGUCGUAGUCCGGAUUGGAGUCUGCAACUCGACUCCAUGAAGUCGGAAUCGCUAGUAAUCGUGGAUCAGAAUGCCACGGUGAAUACGUUCCCGGGCCUUGUACACACCGCCCGUCACACCAUGGGAGUGGGUUGCAAAAGAAGUAGGUAGCUUAACCUUCGGGAGGGCGCUUACCACUUUGUGAUUCAUGACUGGGGUGAAGUCGUAACAAGGUAACCA